UACGGGGGGGGGCAAGCGUUGUUCGGAAUUACUGGGCGUAAAGGGUUCGUAGGUGGCCAACUAAGUCAGACGUGAAAUCCCUCAGCUUAACUGGGGAACUGCGUCUGAGACUGGAUGGCUUGAGUGCAGGAGAGGAACGCGGAAUUCCAGGUGUAGCGGUGAAAUGCGCAGAUAUCAGGAGGAACACCGGUGGCGAAGGCGGGUCUCUGGGCCGUAACUGACGCUGAGGAGCGAAAGCGUGGGGAGCGAACAGG
rnacentral:rRNA from 1 species